rnacentral:lncRNA from 10 species
GUGAGAGCAGAGCCAAGUCCUGGAGACGGUAAACUUGCUGUGGCACCGGAAAACGAGAUGUGCGGGAUACGGGGCAGGGACAAGGUGGAAAAGGACUACUCGGAUCAUUUUUAAGAUGGAAGAGUAGCCACAGAGGAACAGAGUAAGAAUCUCAAUGAAGUAAAGCAGUACGGGCGUACAUUUCUUUACACAGUGCUCUAUUUCAGGGCACAGGAAAAGUUACAGAAUGACAAGAGAGCCUGCAAACAGUAAGAAGAUUCCCCUCUCUUUCUCAGUGGAUGUAAAGCAGUGAUUCUGCAUAAAUGUAUCAACACUAUAGCUCAACUCCUUCUGGAGUGGACUUCCCCUAGACCUGGAGAGCGAGUCCUGCCUAGCAUACACGGCCUGAAGUUCGAGAUCUCUUCCAAUUCAGGUCAACAAGAAAACUCAAUUCCUCUUCAGGAAGUUAAGUGACUUAAAGAUUACAUAAGAGCUAAGAAGACAAGCCAGCUAAGCAUGUUCAAGACCGGGCUUUUUGAAACUGCACUAAUUGAUCAUAACGGUAGACGGGGUUUCACCAUGUUGCCCAGGCUGGUCUAGAAGUCCUGGGCUGAAGCGAUCCGACCGCCUCCCAAAGUGCUGGGAUUACAGGAGUGAGCCAUCUCGCCCAGCCGAAAAAGUGUUUUUUGAUCUUAAAAUCUUACGUGGAAUGAAAGUGAACAAUGAGGCAAUGAAAGUGGAAGUUUCUCUUAAGCAAACACAGAAGUCAACCAUUCCAGCUUUCUAAGGCGUAGAGGCCCCCGGUUUAUCUUGGAACCUCAAGAGGAGAGAAAAUUCACCCAACUCACAGGUAUUUGAUGGCACAAAUCCAUGGCUGGGCUCUGCUUUAAAAACAUCUUAUCUGGUAUUCCUUCUAUGGAACAAGGUUCCAUCAAAGCCAAUAUAAAGCCUAUGUAAAAAAUAAUUUUUUUUGCACUGUAUAUAAGUAAUUAGGCCAAGUAUAAUAAAGCAAACCAAUCCUACCAUGAUUUGUCUUUAGCAAAAAUGGGAAACUGGAGAGAGAAAA